GACAGAGAGAAGUCGACAGUCCCGCCUCACCGGCGCGUCUCCUGCAGCUCCUGAAGUUAAAACCGAGACAUCCGUUGUGAGGUCAAGCGUACACGAUGUACUAAGAGAGUUUGUGACUGAACCUGAAAAGACUGAUCGUCCUGAACACACAGGGUCCUUCAGGAUUUCAUGCAGAGACCUGCGAAUGAGCACUGACGUCUACCUUCAUCUGAGUGUAGAUGAAAGACGCAGGGAAUCACAUAUGGUUCCACACACGUACACCAACACAGACGCUCGUCAUACUUCCCUUUGUUUUGCUAAUGAAAAUCUUUUCCAUCGCUGUCAUCUGC
ensembl:lncRNA